GCCAUUGAUGAUGUUAACCAGCAGUAGAAUAUCCGAUUUCCGACGCUCCUGAACGCAACUUCAUUGUCCGACUGCAACUGAAUGCACCAAUGACGUAAGUUUGAUUUCGUUUGGAUUUGCAGAAGCUUUGAAGACGUUUCCUGAUCCGGAGGAGAAGUCGAGCAGCUUUGGACCUCUGCGAGUGAAAGUAGCAGUUCCUCCUUAAGGUCAGAGGUUGCAGCAUCUGAGGGCCUCUUCAAAAGAAGACGUAGUUGAUGAAGGUGUUCUGGAGCAGGACCAGAAAGACCACGACCAAGCAGCCUUGAGAUCUUAGGCAGCGUCUCCCUCAGGUCCCUCUCUAUCUCCCCACACAUCCACCAACCACUGGAACACAUCUCCAAAGUUCUGCUGGACCAGCUCAGCUUCCCCUCAGAAGAAGUGCAGCCACCUGCCAGAUGAAGGAGCCUAUUGAGAGGCAGCUGGCAUCGUGAUUGGACUGUACUUUGGUCUGUUCCAAUCCAGCUUCAGCUCCAGAGACGGCAGGUGGGACGAGUCAACGGAGGCCGGGUGGACGAAGGCAUGCAGCUGAGUACAAUCCAGAAAACAACAGAGGAGGAGGGCAGCAGCCCAGAGCCAGAACAAACAGAGUAGCAUCGUAUGUCUCUUAGAAAACAUCAUAGUAUAGCCUUUGGUAUGAAAAAACGCCAUCAUAUACAUCGUAUAUUGUACAAAUAACAAGUCAAAGGAAAGAGACAUACAUUGUAGAAUUGUACUAAUUGUGGGCUGACUGAUUUACUGAUUAUCAGUAUUUUAUUUUUUACUGAUUUACGGUAAUAAAUACAUUUAAAAAUGGUGCUACUUUGGCUCUGAACCUUUAUCUACCUGUGGUCGCUCUGUCUUCUGGAGUGAUUUGAUUGGUUAUACGUCACGGAUAAAACUCCUUUAACUUAACAUCUGUAAACAAAACAACAAAGUUUUCUGUUAGAGUUUGUGUUCUUCUAAGUUUAACGCCAAGAUUUUAAAUACUUUCAUUUACUGCAAAUGAAUAUCUACUCCAAAUGUUUCACUAAUAAUCAUUAUCAGCCUUAAAAACCCACAAAACACCCCUCUAUACUCAACCACACUUAGUACAGUCCGGUUCCCCAUUCUAUAAAUCUGCUUGGAAUCUUCCACUUCCUGUUUGUCAAAGUGGCCUUCUACCUGGACAGGUUUUGUUGGAGCUCAUGCAACAAACAUUUUGGGUAACUGCACCUUAACAUGGAUGGAUGACACUGAAUUAGAGUCUGUUUUAAUGAGACUGAGUUAAGAUGUGUAGCUCUGUCAUUAAAUAGGAAAUUAUUUCUCAGAAUUCACAGAGAAAAGUCUGAAAUGUUUGCUAGGUUAGCGUCCCACAUGUUCUUUGGCUAAGCUAAAGCUAACUCUCUCCAACUUCUGGAUCUCUUGAGUUGCUUGUUGUUAAAUUAUUUUGCUGUAGGUGCUGAAGCUCAGAAAGUCUGAGAUGUUUGUUCAAAAUAAGCUCAUUCUCAAGUCUCAUCUGAACUGUCCUCUUUUGUUUGAACUUUCCCUAAACUUAGGAGUUAAUGACAGAGCAGCACAUCCAGACUCAGUCUCAUUUAUGUAGAGAUUAAACUUCAGUGUCAUUCAUUGAUGUUAAAGUGCAGUUUUUCAAAUGUUUGUUGCACAUGCUCCCGACCAAACCAGUCCAGGUGGAAGACGAUGUGAAGAGAAAGCUCCAGAGGAUGAAUAUCACACAUUUACGUUGGAAAUAAAUGUCCUUUAAUUAGACAUUGUCAUGCAAAAGUUGAAUUUCCCUUUAAUGAUGUUCAAAUCUUUGUUGAGUGUUUUGUUGAUGUUGGUUUCUAAAUGUUUUCUGACACUCGGCCCCAAAGAUUAAAACCUUCUACGGCUCACAAGCUGCAACAAUUCACACAUUAUCAACUAUCAUUCUGACUAAACUAAGAUAAAAACUGAAAAACUGCCUGAUUCCUGCAUCAUGAAUCUUUUUGUUUUUUAUCACAGUAAACUGAAUAUAUUUGGGUUUGACAUUUUAUAAACCAAAACAGGAACUGAAUUAGUGGAGAAAACAAUCAACAGAUUAAUGGACAAAGAAAAUGUGUUUUCCAGCAUAUAUGGCUGAAUUACUCCAACAUUAUAAGAUACAUACAAUUUUAAUUCAAUUUUAUUUAUAUAACGCCAAUUACAGGUCAAAUUGUCUCAAGAUGCUUUAUUUUUAUAUUUUUUUGUCAUAUUUAAAAUAUGACAAAGUAAGAAAUUUAAACCUCUUGACUAAUCCAAUUUAUUAUUUGGUUUUUAAGAGACUAAUGGACAAUUAAAAUAACUUUCUCCACUAAAACUAAUAAACAUGAGGUCAAAUAGAAGGAAGAGUUUUAAAUACUGCAGUCCCACGACGACAAGAAUAAAGUUUGUCAAGAAAAACUAAAUCUGCUGUUGGAUUCCAUGAAAGUCCUAAUAAAUGAUAAUAAAGUGUGAUACUAAA